rnacentral:rRNA from 1 species
GACGAACGCUGGCGGCGUGCUUAACACAUGCAAGUCGAACGGAAAGGCCCCUUUGGGGGUACUCGAGUGGCGAACGGGUGAGUAACACGUGAGUAACCUGCCCUUGACUUCGUGAUAACUUCAGGAAACUGGGGCUAAUACCGGAUAGGAAUCCUUGCUUCAUGGUGGUGGUUGGAAAGCUUCGGCGGUUUUGGAUGGACUCGCGGCUUAUCAGCUUGUUGGUGGUGUAGUUGCUUACUAAGGCUUUGACGGGUAGCCGGCCUGAGGGGGCGAACGGCGACAUGGCGACUGAGGGACGGCGCAGACUGCUACGGGAGGCAACAGUGGGGAAUAUUGCACAAUGAGCGGAAGCCUGAUGCAGCGAUGCUGCGUGCGUGAUGACGGCUUUCGGGUUGAAAACCGCUGUCAGAAGGGGAGAAGCUUGUGGUGACGGUACCUGCAGAAGAAGCACCGGCUAACUACGUG